rnacentral:misc_RNA from 1 species
GAUGAAGAACGUAGCGAAAUGCGAUAAGUAAUGUGAAUUGCAGAAUUCAGUGAAUCUUCGAAUCUUUGAACGCACAUUGCGCCCCCUGGUAUUCCGGGGGGCAUGCCUGUUCGAGCGUCAUUUCAACCCUCAAGCUCUGCUUGGUAUUGGGCGUCGCCGGGGAGUCUCCCCGGCGUGCCUCAAAGCCAUCGGCGGUGGUGCCUUUCUCUAAGCGUGGUAGAAUUUUUAUUCGCUUCUGAGUUGGGCUUCGCCUGCCGGACAAACCGGGCCCUCGCGGCCCACCUUCUCAGGUUGACCUCGGAUCAGGUAGGGAUACCCGCUGAACUUAAGCAUAUCAAUAAGCGGAGGA